rnacentral:rRNA from 1 species
UACGUAGGGGGCGAGCGUUGUCCGGAUUUAUUGGGCGUAAAGAGCGUGUAGGCGGUUCGGUAAGUCUGUCGUGAAAUCCUGAGGCUCAACCUCGGGCGUGCGAUGGAUACUGCAGGGCUAGAGUCCGGAAGAGGCGAGUGGAAUUCCUGGUGUAGCGGUGGAAUGCGCAGAUAUCAGGAGGAACACCAAUAGCGAAGGCAGCUCGCUGGGACGGUACUGACGCUAAGGCGCGAAAGCGUGGGGAGCGAACAGG